CAUCGAAGGAAAUGCCUGCCGAGUCCCUCGGCGACAUGCCCAAGUAGCCACGAUCUUCAAGGCUACGCCGCGGCCCCGGCCGCGCUGAUCGACCCCGUUCGCUUCGCAUCCGUCGACGCGGACAGCCGCCGCGCCGCGGUGGCGGAUGC
rfam:Alicycliphilus denitrificans K601, complete genome.